AUGAACGCUAGCGACAGGCUUAACACAUGCAAGUCGAGGGGCAGCGGGGGUAGCGAUACCCGCCGGCGACCGGCGCACGGGUGAGUAACGCGUAUGCAACUUGCCUAUCAGAGGGGGAUAACCCGGCGAAAGUCGGACUAAUACCGCAUGAAGCAGGGGCCCCGCAUGGGGGUAUUUGCUAAAGAUUCAUCGCUGAUAGAUAGGCAUGCGUUCCAUUAGGCAGUUGGCGGGGUAACGGCCCACCAAACCGACGAUGGAUAGGGGUUCUGAGAGGAAGGUCCCCCACAUUGGUACUGAGACACGGACCAAACUCCUACGGGAGGCAGCAGUGAGGAAUAUUGGUCAAUGGCCGAGAGGCUGAACCAGCCAAGUCGCGUGAGGGAUGAAGGUUCUAUGGAUCGUAAACCUCUUUUAUAAGGGAAUAAAGUGCGGGACGUGUCCCGUUUUGUAUGUACCUUAUGAAUAAGGAUCGGCUAACUCCGUGCCAGCAGCCGCGGUAAUACGGAGGAUCCGAGCGUUAUCCGGAUUUAUUGGGUUUAAAGGGUGCGUAGGCGGCCUUUUAAGUCAGCGGUGAAAGUCUGUGGCUCAACCAUAGAAUUGCCGUUGAAACUGGGGGGCUUGAGUAUGUUUGAGGCAGGCGGAAUGCGUGGUGUAGCGGUGAAAUGCUUAGAUAUCACGCAGAACCCCGAUUGCGAAGGCAGCCUGCCAAGCCAUGACUGACGCUGAUGCACGAAAGCGUGGGGAUCAAACAGGAUUAGAUACCCUGGUAGUCCACGCAGUAAACGAUGAUCACUAGCUGUUUGCGAUACAUUGUAAGCGGCACAGCGAAAGCGUUAAGUGAUCCACCUGGGGAGUACGCCGGCAACGGUGAAACUCAAAGGAAUUGACGGGGGCCCGCACAAGCGGUGGAGCAUGUGGUUUAAUUCGAAGCAACGCGAAGAACCUUACCAGGUCUUGACAUCGAUCUAAAGGCUCCAGAGAUGGAGAGAUAGCUAUAGAGAAGACAGGUGGUGCAUGGUUGUCGUCAGCUCGUGCCGUGAGGUGUCGGCUUAAGUGCCAUAACGAGCGCAACCCCCAUCCGCAGUUGCCAGCAGGUAAAGCUGGGGACUCUGCGGAGACUGCCGGCGCAAGCUGAGAGGAAGGCGGGGAUGACGUCAAAUCAGCACGGCCCUUACGUCCGGGGCUACACACGUGUUACAAUGGGGGGUACAGAAGGCCGCUACCUGGUGACAGGAUGCUAAUCCCAAAAGCCUCUCUCAGUUCGGAUCGGAGUCUGCAACCCGACUCCGUGAAGCUGGAUUCGCUAGUAAUCGCGCAUCAGCCAUGGCGCGGUGAAUACGUUCCCGGGCCUUGUACACACCGCCCGUCAAGCCAUGGGAGCCGGGGGUACCUGAAGUCCGUAACCGAAAGGAUCGGCCUAGGGUAAAACUGGUGACUGGGGCU
rnacentral:rRNA from 1 species